UGGUUGACAAAAUGGGUGACAAAAUGGUUGACAAAAUGGGUGACAAAAUGGUUGACAAAAUGGGUGACAAAAUGGUUGACAAAAUGGGUGACAAAAUGGGUGAAAAAAUGGGUGAAAAAAUGGUUGACAAAAUGGGUGACAAAAUGGGUGACAAAAUGGUUGACAAAAUGGGUGACAAAAUGGUUGACAAAAAAAACGAAGCGGAAAAGCUAUUCCUCAAACGUGAACAGAAAAAACAAAAAAAAAACAACGCCAUAGAUAUUCUAGACAUUGAAAAAAUUAACAAAAUUAGUAAUGAAAAAUGCAAUAACAUAAUAAGCAUAAGUAGUUUUAAAAACAUUUAUAAUAACAAUUUAUUGGAUGAAGAUUUGUUAUUAAAAUUAUUAACAAAUGAUUUUUUGAGUAACCAGAAAGAUGUCCAAGAUGUUAUUAAUUAUAUAUUAAACGAUAAAUACAAAAAAUUAAAAAAUUUUGAAAGUAUAUUAUUAUUAUAUCCACAUUUUAAUGAUUAUCAAUUAAAAAAAAUAGCGGAACUUAUAUUAGAAAAAUAUAAUUCUGUUUUGUUUCAAAAUAUUAAUACAGAUGAUGAUUUUUAUGCUUUUAUAUUCAAAUUCUUUUCACUUUUAAAUAAUAAAAAUUUAAAAUUAUGUAGUGUUUGUUUGUCCAAAGCUAGUUAUACCGAAAAAAAAAAAGAGGAACAAAAGAAAAAAACAGGUGAAAGUGAUAUACCAAAUGAUUUGACAUUCUUAGAAACGGGUUCUGUUAGUAGUAGUAGUAGUAGUAGUAGUAAUAAUACUAGUAGUAAUAAUAGUAGUAAUGAUAAUAGUAGUAAUAGUAGUAAUAGUAGUAAUAGUAAUAGUAAACGCAAUAGUAAACGCAAUAGUAAACGCAAUAGUGGUAGGCAUAAAAUCCAUAUCGAUUCAACUAGUGUUACUACUAAUACACAUGCUGAUAUUAUGACCAAUGCAACUACUAUGCCAACACUUAGAAGUAGCAGAAUAAGAACAAUUAAUAAUUAUACAGAUUAUACAAAAGAUAAAAUGCUCACAAAAAAAGAAAGAAGACUAGGGUCCCUAAGUAUGUUAAAACAAUGUUCGAUAUGCAAUGUAUAUAUAUGUUACUUUUGUUGUCAUCGUAUGAAUAUAUACACAAUAAAAAAUUAUCUAACAGAUGAAUACACACGUGUUAAAUCUACUAAUUAUUUGACCAAACAAAAGAAAGCUACAGGAGGACGAAGUAAAAGUGGUGCUAUAUCUACUGCUGUUAUUCCUAGUGGUAUUAUUGACGAUUACCAUCAUGAUAAAAAUGGAAAAUCAAUCAAGAACAAAAGUAACUACACUAGUACAAAUACAAACACAAACACAAACACAAACACAAACACAAACACAAACACAAACACAAACAUUCUUCAGAAUAAUGAAAAAGAAAAAAAUGUAAAAAGUUUGUAUUAUGACCAGCUAGUUGAACAAAGCAACAUAAACGAAUAUGUAAAAAAACAAGAUGACACAAAUGGGAACACGUUCAACUUAUUAGGGCAACAUGUGACUGAUGCUUCAGCAUGUACAAAUACUAAUGUACAAGAAAAUAUAAAUAACGAUUUACAUAAGACUAAUUGUGAUAGCGCUAUUAAUAACAGUUGCUGUAACAUCCAACAAAAACAAACAGAUGGACCAAGUAUGGAUCCAAAAAAAACGGACAACACUUCCACGGGUAGUCUGUUGCAUCAUAACAAUAUCCUUGACAAUGGUCUUAACCAUGGUCUUAACAAAUUAAAAACUUACAAUACGAAAAAAACAAACAGUUAUAACAGAAUAAACACAUAUGUUGUCACUAUGGACACAGACGAUCAUAAUAAUGAAACAAAUGAAGCUGAGUUUAUAUGUCCAAGGUGUGAAUAUUUUAAAAUUAAAAAAAAAGUUGCUUGUUGCUCUUAUUGCCCAAGGUUAGAUGGUUUUUUAAAUUGUUUUGAAGAUAAAACAAAAAAAGAUUUAUUGUUUGGUCAUCCAAAAUGUUUAGAGUAUAUAAAUACUGCUUAUAGUAAAAAACAUAUUUUAAAUGAAAGCAAAAGUGGUAUUUUAAAAAAAGUAUGUAGUUAUUGCAGAAUAAGACAUGGUAUUGUUAUUACUUGUAGUAAUACAGAUUGUGACACUUCAUUUCAUAUAUCUUGUGGAAUUUUUCUUGGAUGUAAAAUGGAUAAUUUUUUUGGUAGGGUUGAUAUAUAUAAUCCUAAAAAAGGAUACUGCUUUAAACAUACUUUUCAAUAUUAUAAAAAAGUUAACGUAACUAAUUUUAUUAAUACAAAUAAGCUAUUUUUUUUUGAGUAUUUUCUGAAAGCACCAUUUAAUCAUUUAUAUAUUUAUUUACUAGGCACAUAUAUUUUUAAUUAUCUACAAAAAAAAUGUAUUAAGUAUUUAAUGAACCCAAUCAAAAUAGAUGAACCGCUCCAUAUGAAUUUCCUUUUUGAAAAAACACAAGUAAAUUUUGCAACCAAACGGAAUAUAACCACUUCUGUCAACGAAACCAAAAAAACGAAUAAACGAAAGCUUUAUGGUCACGCUGGAGUAUAUGACGAUACACAGGAUGUUCAUUUUGGUAUUACUACCCCUGUUACAGUUGCUACUACUACUACUACUGCUGCUGCUACCAAUACGUAUGAACAUAACAUUAGUAGCAAUAAUACACUAUCAAAUAAACAAACAAAAUAUGUAAAAGAUGGUACAACUACAAAUUUAAGCAUACCAUUAGAUAUUUCAAAAAAAGCAGGUUUAAAAAAUAAGUCAUUACUUUUGAAUUAUGAGAACAAAAUCGAUGAAACUGGGUUAGUAUAUAAUCAAAGUAAAAUUUCACAACCAGAAUCGACCGUACCAGCAGAAGCUUUACUUCAUAAAACUAAGGUAUCUGGAUUAGAAACAAACGGAUCCAUAGAUAUACAAGAUUUAAUAAAAAAUUACGACUCUAUAGGUAUGCACGACUCUAUGGGCAUACAUGAUGCAUCAAACCAUGAGAUGUUAUAUCUUGACGAUAAUGUAACAGAAAGUGCAGUAUCAGUAAUCUCUGAAAAUGAAUCUAAUGAAUUACGAGCUUUUCAAAAAAUGUCGUUUUUGAAUUCCAAAAGUUGCAACAGAAUAAAUAAAAUUAUAAAUAAUAGUUUUAAUCAAUAUAUAAAGAAAUUAUCAACAGAUACAUCUUGUGAUAAACAAAAUAACAACUACAUGUUGGAUCGUGACGCAGUUAUAGGAACUGAUUUAGGUACAGAGCGUUGGGGUAGCAUUAGUGUUAAUAAGAAUAGAAAUGCUGUGACGACAGACCUAGUGAAUACUCUUGCACGGACACGGGCACAAUCACAGUUACUACUGUUGCAGUCAGGUUCACAACUACAACAACAGAAACAGACACAAUCACCAUCACUUUUACAUGUACAGUCAUUGCCAAACUUACAACUACAUGAUGAAUCAAAUGUUCACAAUAAAUAUAACGAAUUAGAAAGCUCAAGAAAAAGAUAUAUAACACGGACUAGUAGUAAGAGUAGUAUAAUUGGUACUGAUAAUGACAAAAAAUUGAGCAGAAAAUCUUCAAAACGCUUGAAUAAUACACAUCAUAUAUAUGAUACUACUACUACUAUUACUAAUAAAAAUAAUAUCUUUAAUAAUAAUAUCGAAAGUAAUACAGAUACUACUUCAAAAAAAAGAAGAACGAGCAAAAGUAAAACACAUUAUUAUAUUAUAGAUAAUGAUUUGCAACAUAAAACUAGUAUUGAUAGUAAUUAUAGCAGUAGUAAUAACAAACACAGUUUAGCUAACUUUGAUAUACAUAACUUUGUUACACCUAAUAAACAAAAUACAUUUAAUUCAAAUAAUAGUUCGGUUUCUCAUAGUACGAAAAAAACACAACAUAAUCAUAAAAAUAGUUUUAACGAAUUAAUUAAACCGGGAGUUAUUAGUAAUGCUGCUGCUGCUGCAUCGGGCACGGCUAAUAAAGAAAAAUCGAAAUAUGUACGAAAGGGAGAGGACAACACACGAAAAGGAUAUGACAGCACACGAAAAGGAGAUGACAGCACAAAAAAAAAAGAACGCAGAACAAAGAAAAAUGCACACUCACAAAAAAAACAAACAUCAAAUACAAUAGAACAACAUAAACAAGUAGAAGAAGAUGAAAUAUUCUGCCCAAUAUGUAAAUCAGUUUAUCAGGAACUAAGUGAUGGUUCACCAGGGGAUGGACUUAAUUGGAUUGGUUGUGAUAAAUGUGAACGA
rnacentral:lncRNA from 1 species